rnacentral:RNase_P_RNA from 1 species
CCAGAGGGCCGGGCGGUCGCCGCGCAGCAAUGCGGGGAGGAAAGUCCGGGCUCCAAGGAGUAACGGUGCCGGGUAACGCCCGGCGGGGGCGACCCUAGGGACAGUGCCACAGAAAGCAGACCGCCCGGCGGACCCUUCGGGGUUUCGGGCAAGGUAGAAAGGGUGUGGUAAGAGCGCACCGCGGUCCCGGUAACGGGAACGGCAUGGUAAACCCCACCGGGAGCAAGAUCGAAUAGGGACGGCAUAUGGGCUACUCCGCCCGGUCGUCCGGGUUGAUUGCUGGAGGCCGGUCGCAAGCCCGGUCCUAGAGGAAUGAUCGCCCAUCCGGCGCCGGAUUCGUUCCGGCUCGGUGGACAGAACCCGGCUUACAGGCCCUCUGGUAUU